rnacentral:rRNA from 1 species
AGGUCUCCUGAAGGAACGUUGAAGACGACGACGUUGAUAGGCCGGAUGUGUAAGCGCAGCGAUGCGUUGAGCUAACCGGUACUAAUGAACCGUGAGGCUUAACCUUACAACGCCGAAGCUGUU